CCCUUAGAUGUCCGGGGCUGCACGCGCGCUACACUGAAGGAAUCAGCGUGCUAAAACCAUUGUCGAAAGGCAUUGGUAAACCCAUUAAAAUCCUACGUGAUUGGGAUCGGGAAUUGCAAUUAUUUCCCUUGAACGAGGAAUUCCCAGUAAGUGUGGGUCAUAAGCUCGCGUUGAUUACGUCCCUGCCCUUUGUACACACCGCCUGUCGCUGCCCGGGACUGAGCCGUUUCGAGAAAAGCGGGGACUGCUGCUGUCGGGGCUUUCGGGCCUUGGCUUCGGUGGAAACCGCUUUAAUCGCAGUGGCUUGAACCGGGCAAAANUCGUANCA
rnacentral:rRNA from 1 species